UCAUCAUUUCUCUUCCUUUCUAAAACUCACAAACAUGACAGAAAAUUAUAAUCCAUUUUCAUCCAUUCCUUUUCUAUACUUUCCCUUUCCAUCCCAUCUCACAUACAACAUUAAUAUGCAACUUUUGUGCAAUGUUUUCAUAUUCGGAUCUGUUAUCAAACCGAAAUAAUUGCCGGAUGAAUGGGUUGCUGAUUUGACCACUGGGUUC
rnacentral:lncRNA from 1 species